GAUGAACGCUGGCGGCGUGCCUAAUACAUGCAAGUCGAGCGAACAGACGAGGAGCUUGCUCCUCUGACGUUAGCGGCGGACGGGCGAGUAACACGUGGAUAACCUACCUAUAAGACUGGGAUAACUUCGGGAAACCGGAGCUACUACCGGAUAAUAUAUUGAACCGCAUGGUUCAAUAGUGAAAGACGGCUUUGCUGUCACUUAUAGAUGGUUCCGCGCCGCAUUAGCUAGUUGGUAAGGUAACGGCUUACCAAGGCAACGAUGCGUAGCCGACCUGAGAGGAUGAUCGGCCACACUGGAACUGAGACACGGUCCAGACUCCUACGGGAGGCAGCAGUAGGGAAUAUUCCGCAAUGGGCGAAAGCUUGACGGAGCAACACCGCGUGAGUGAUGAAGGUCUUCGGAUCGUAAAACUCUGUUAUUAGGGAAGAACAAAUGUGUAAGUAACUAUGCACGUCUUGACGGUACCUAAUCAGAAAGCCACGGCUAACUACGUG
rnacentral:rRNA from 1 species